rnacentral:rRNA from 1 species
AAUAUUGCACAAUGGAGGGAACUCUGAUGCAGCAACGCCGCGUGAGUGAAGAAGGUUUUCGGAUCGUAAAACUCUGUCAUUGGGGAAGAAUAAAUGACGGUACCCAAUGAGGAAGCCCCGGCUAACUACGUGCCAGCAGCCGCGGUAAUACGUAGGGGGCGAGCGUUGUCCGGAAUUACUGGGCGUAAAGGGUACGUAGGCGGCUAUAUAAGUCAGGUGUGAAAUCUUACAGCUUAACUGUAAGCGGUCAUUGGAAACUGGGAGACUUGAGUGCAGAAGAGGAGAGUGGAAUUCCAUGUGUAGCGGUGAAAUGCGUAGAUAUAGGAAGGAACACCAGUGGCGAAGGCAGCCCCCUGGGAUAAUACUGACGCUCAUGCACGAAAGCGUGGGGAGCAAACA